rnacentral:rRNA from 1 species
GGCCGGGAACUCAAAGGAGACUGCCAGUGAUAAACUGGAGGAAGGUGGGGAUGACGUCAAGUCAUCAUGGCCCUUACGAGUAGGGCUACACACGUGCUACAAUGGCGCAUACAAAGAGAAGCGACCUCGCGAGAGCAAGCGGACCUCAUAAAGUGCGUCGUAGUCCGGAUUGGAGUCUGCAACUCGACUCCAUGAAGUCGGAAUCGCUAGUAAUCG